rnacentral:rRNA from 1 species
AAUCCCUUAUAAGGUAACAAAAAAAAAUUUGUUACUAAAAGAAAAACUUUCGCUUUAAGAUGUUUAUAAUUUUCUCGGGUAAGUAGUAGUUGAGGUAAUUGCUCAACUAGCUUAAGCCCGUAGUCGAAACUGAGAGGUUGAUCGACCACAUUGGGUCUGAAAAAACCCCAAUACGUGUAGUACAGCAGUGAGGAAUAUU